GGUCGGUUGGUCUAGUGGUAUGACGUCUCCUUUACACGGAGAAAAUCGGCGGUUCGAUCCCGUCACCGAUCA
rfam:Byssochlamys spectabilis No. 5 DNA, contig: PVAR5_00015_3.